AAAAAUAAAAGCGGGAUCUGAUUUUUCACGAGUGAAACCCCAAUUUUUCAAAAGCUCUCUCUCUUUCUGACUCUAACUCUCGCUCUCUCACUUUCAUUUUCAUUAUCGCUCUAUUUCUCUCCUCUCGUUCCUUCUCACUCUCACUAUUUCUCUCUUAGCUUUCGCUCUAUCUUUCUCACUCUUGCUCUGUCUCUCUUUCUCUAUCGCUGUGGCUAGCUCGUGCUCUCUCAGUGGCUUGCUCACCCCUCGCGCAGUCUCUCUUCCUCCAUUUUCCAGCUUAUGACAAAAAAGAGUAUAAAAGGCUCUUGAAACAACUGAACCGACGAAGGUCAGUGUCAGGGAAAUUACGGGCUUCAUAUCGAAAGCAGCACAUAGGGGCGAAUAUGGUAUCUGGACUACAUUCUUAGCACUUCUUGUUCAUCUCUUCUUCUUUAUUCCUGGUUGGCUUUUAUGCUUAAUGGCCAUGAGAUUGGUAUGACUAGGGAGGCUCCAACCAAAGUAAGACCUGGACUUGUAAUGGGCUUCACUUAGAGAUGUUAUGGGGGAAAGUAAAGCUUCUAAGUGACAAGUUAUUUCUAAAUUGAGAACUUCUUACAUGUUACUAGAGAUCUUAGUUCAUUUUAGUACGCUUAUUUUAAUUGUAUUCAUAUUGUAAUUUCAAUACUAUUUAAGUAUAUAGUUGUGUUAUUU